rnacentral:rRNA from 1 species
GACGAACGUUGGCGGCGUGCUUAACACAUGCAAGUCGAACGGAAAGGCCCUGCUUGCAGGGUACUCGAGUGGCGAACGGGUGAGUAACACGUGGGUGAUCUGCCCUGCACUUCGGGAUAAGCCUGGGAAACUGGGUCUAAUACCGGAUAUGACCUUCCAUGUAGUGUGGGGGGUGGAAAGAUUUAUCGGUGUGGGAUGAGCCCGCGGCCUAUCAGCUUGUUGGUGGGGUAAUGGCCUACCAAGGCGUCGACGGGUAGCCGGCCUGAGAGGGUGGACGGCCACAUUGGGACUGAGAUACGGCCCAGACUCCUACGGGAGGCAGCAGUGGGGAAUAUUGCACAAUGGGCGGAAGCCUUAUGCAGCGACGCCGCGUGGGGGAUGACGGCCUUCGGGUUGUAAACCUCUUUCGACAGGGACGAAGCUUCGGUGACGGUACCUGUAUAAGAAGCACCGGCUAACUACGUG